UACGUAGGGGGCAAGCGUUGUCCGGAAUCAUUGGGCGUAAGCGCGUGUAGGCGGCCCGAUAAGUCUGCUGUAAAAGUCCAGGGCUCAACCCUGGAAAGCCGGUGGAUACUGUCGGGCUCGAGUCCGGAAGAGGCGAGUGGAAUUCCUGGUGUAGCGGUGAAAUGCGCAGAUAUCAGGAGGAACACCGAUGGCGAAGGCAGCUCGCUGGGACGGUACUGACGCUGAGACGCGAAAGCUAGGGGAGCAAACGGG
rnacentral:rRNA from 1 species